GACGAACGCUGGCGGCGUGCUUAACACAUGCAAGUCGAACGAAGAGCGAUGGAAGCUUGCUUCUAUCAAUCUUAGUGGCGAACGGGUGAGUAACGCGUAAUCAACCUGCCCUUCAGAGGGGGACAACAGUUGGAAACGACUGCUAAUACCGCAUACGAUCUAAUCUCGGCAUCGAGGAUAGAUGAAAGGUGGCCUCUACAUGUAAGCUAUCACUGAAGGAGGGGAUUGCGUCUGAUUAGCUAGUUGGAGGGGUAACGGCCCACCAAGGCGAUGAUCAGUAGCCGGUCUGAGAGGAUGAACGGCCACAUUGGGACUGAGACACGGCCCAGACUCCUACGGGAGGCAGCAGUGGGGAAUCUUCCGCAAGGGACGAAAGUCUGACGGAGCAACGCCGCGUGAGUGAUGACGGCCGUCGGGUUGUAAAGCUCUGUUAAUCGGGACGAAAGGCCUUCUUGCGAAUAGUGAGAAGGAUUGACGGUACCGGAAUAGAAAGCCACGGCUAACUACGUG
rnacentral:rRNA from 1 species